CUUCUGCAGGGUGAAGUGUGGAGUGAUGAGGCCCAGGACUGCUCUGCCUCUCGCCUUCCCGUCUCCAAAGUGCAAAGCGUUUUAUGCAGAGUGAGAGACGUUGCUGAGGUGUGUGUUAUUCUUGUUGUCGGCCUCCAGCGGGGAGCAGGAGUCAACACAGCCGGUUACAUACACACCGCCUUCAGCCUGUCAAUCAACUCAGGUAAUCACACCCCCUGUUGCUUUCAAACACGUGCUUUCACACACACACACUCACACUCACACAUGUAAAUACAGCAUGCACUGUUGGUGACA
rnacentral:lncRNA from 1 species